GUGAGCGGUACGUGAAGACGGUAACAUGGGUGAAUGGCUGCCAUUUGAGAGGGAGAUAAUUAAGAAGGUAAUUCUCUCUGGAGUAGGGGCGUCUCAUUCUCUGCUGACAGAAUAGUGUAGUUUGGGGGAAACACAGGGUGUCGCCAUGGGUUCCAAAAUGUCACCCAGCUUUGCCUCCCUAUAUGUUGGACUGUUUGAACAAGAACACAUCUAUGACCCUCAAGCCAAUCCCUUCAUUCAUUACAUCUCUAUCUGGAGGAGGUACCUUGACGAUGUGUUCUUUAUUUGGGCAGGAUCUGACAAACUUUUGGAGGAUUUCUUUACCUUUGUAAACUCUAAGAGCGAACACCUUAAAUUUACUAUAUCUUCUGACAAAGAGAAAAUUAAUUUCCUGGAUAUUCUGAUAAUUAAGGAGAACAAUAUGUUGAAAACGGAUUUAUAUCGAAAGCCUACUGAUACCAUGACUUAUGACAAUUAUGUUGAGUCAUACCAUCCAAUCCACCUAAAAAGGAAUCUUCCUAUCUCUCAAUUUAACAGGAUUAGACGUAUUUGUAGCUCCUAUGAUGAUUUCACUCGACAAAGUUUGGUUUUGGAAAACCGUUUUAGAGAAAGGGGAUAUAUGGAAUCUUGGAUUAAUGAUGCAUCAACACGCAAAAAAAAACAAAAGGGAUGAUAAGAGAAUAGUGUGUGCCAUCCAGUACUCUCCGGUAGCUAAAGCUAUAGAGGGUGCUAAAAAGGGAGAUCCAAGGUCUUCUUUUGACUCGGCGUCGAAACGUUAGUCAGUUCGCACAAAUAAAAACACGUUAAAGCAUUGAGUGCUCCGAUCCUGCUCCUUGGCUCCUGUUAGACCUUGGAUCUCCCUUUUUGACUUCUGCGUCCUGUUCCGUGAGCACCAACCAGGCUGAAGCGCAAGUGACCCCCUUCUACUAUAGAGCGUGCUAUUACUGUAAACAACACUGGCACAUUCUGAACACGGACCCAACAUACGAACUUGCUUCCAUAAUCCCCCUCGAGUGGUAUUCAAAAAAACACCUAAUCUACACAACAGACUAGUGAGAGCAGACGUACCUUCCAUAGUGGCCCCUCAUUUCCUUAACUCCAUACCUACAGGGAAUUACCCAUGUGGAAGAUGCCAACAAUGCCAUUUCACUUAUAAAACUAAUACAUUCAAUCAUCCUCAUAAUGGCAAAAAAUAUAUGAUUAAAGAAGUGAUCUCUUGCUCCACUACCAAUGUUUUUUAUAUGUUGACAUGCCCCUGUGGAUUGUCAUAUAUAAGACCACUAGGGCAUUAAAAGGAUCUCAGAACAUCGCAGUGCUAUUCGAAAUGGUGUAACAUCUAGCCCUGUAGCUGUACAUUUCAUGAAUGCUAAACACAAUGUUUCCGGUUUAAAAUAUGUGGGGAUUGAGGCAAUCAAGUGUCCACGUGGGGGGGGGGUAACGUUGAUAAU